GUAGAUGACAAUAAAGCACCUCAUAUAAUAGCGGGAAUAUGGCUCGCGAGUUUCUACCGGCUGCCGUAAACAGCCGACUAUGGGGAAAGCAUUCGGAAUC
rnacentral:ncRNA from 2 species